AGAGUUUGAUCCUGGCUCAGGACGAACGCUGGCGGCAUGCUUAACACAUGCAAGUGGAGCGACGAACCUUUUAGGGGCAAAGCCGCGAACGGGUGAGUAACACGUGGGCAAUCUGCCCCGAUGACUGGAAUAACACGAGGAAACUCGUGCUAAUACCGGAUGUGCUUGCACCUCAUCAGAGGUGUCAGUAAAGGUAGCUUCGGCUAACCGCAUCGGGAGGAGCCUGCGCAGCAUUAGCUAGUUGGUGGGGUAAAGGCCUACCAAGGCGACGAUGCUUAGCUGGUCUGAGAGGACGAUCAGCCACACUGGAACUGAGACACGGUCCAGACUCCUACGGGAGGCAGCAGUGGGGAAUCUUGCACAAUGGGCGACAGCCUGAUGCAGCAAUGCCGCGUGAGGGAAGACGGCCUUCGGGUUGUAAACCUCUUUCAGUUGGGAUGAAGGUUGGACGGUGAAUAGCCGCGCCAACUGACCGUACCUUCAGAAGAAGCCCCGGCUAACUACGUGCCAGCAGCCGCAGUAAUACGUAGGGGGCAAGCGUUGUCCGGAAUCAUUGGGCGUAAAGCGCGUGUAGGCGGUUACGUAAGUCUGCUGUGAAAGUCGGAGGCUCAACCUUCGAAUGCCAGUGGAUACUGCGUGACUAGAGUUCGGAAGAGGCAAGUGGAAUUCCUGGUGUAGCGGUGAAAUGCGCAGAUAUCAGGAGGAACACCAACGGCGAAGGCAGCUUGCUGGUACGACACUGACGCUGAGACGCGAAAGCGUGGGGAGCAAACAGGAUUAGAUACCCUGGUAGUCC
rnacentral:rRNA from 1 species